rnacentral:rRNA from 1 species
UACAUAGGGUGCGAGCGUUGUCCGGAAUUAUUGGGCGUAAAGAGCUCGUAGGCGGUUUGUUGCGUCGGCCGUGAAAACCUGCAGCUUAACUGUGGGCCUGCGGCCGAUACGGGCAGACUUGAGUUCGGUAGGGGAGACUGGGAUUCCUGGUGUAGCGGUGAAAUGCGCAGAUAUCAGGAGGAACACCGGUGGCGAAGGCGGGUCUCUGGGCCGAUACUGACGCUGAGGAGCGAAAGCGUGGGGAGCGAACAGG